AUACGUAGGUGACAAGCGUUGUCCGGAUUUACUGGGUGUAAAGGGCGUGUAGGCGGUUUAGCAAGUCAGAAGUGAAAUUCCCGGGCUUAACUUGGGCGCUGCUUCUGAAACUGCUUUACUUGAGUGCUGGAGAGGAUAGUGGAAUUCCUAGUGUAGCGGUAAAAUGCGCAGAUAUUAGGAGGAACACCGGUGGCGAAGGCGGCUAUCUGGACAGUAACUGACGCUGAGGCGCGAAAGCACGGGGAGCAAACAGGAUUAGAUACCCUGGUAGUCCGUGCCGUAAACGAUGAAUACUAGGUGUAGGGGGUAUCGACUCCCUCUGUGCCGCAGUUAACACAUUAAGUAUUCCACCUGGGGAGUACGGCCGCAAGGUUGAAACUCAAAGGAAUUGACGGGG
rnacentral:rRNA from 1 species